GACGAACGCUGGCGGCGUGCUUAACACAUGCAAGUCGAACGGAAAGGCCCCCUUGUGGGGUACUCGAGUGGCGAACGGGUGAGUAACACGUGAGUAACCUACCCUUGACUUUGGGAUAACUUCAGGAAACUGGGGCUAAUACCGGAUAGGAGCUCCUGCUGCAUGGUGGGGGUUGGAAAGUUUCGGCGGUUGGGGAUGGACUCGCGGCUUAUCAGCUUGUUGGUGGGGUAGUGGCUCACCAAGGCUUUGACGGGUAGCCGGCCUGAGAGGGUGACCGGCCACAUUGGGACUGAGAUACGGCCCAGACUCCUACGGGAGGCAGCAGUGGGGAAUAUUGCACAAUGGGCGGAAGCCUGAUGCAGCAACGCCGCGUGCGGGAUGUCGGCCUUCGGGUUGUAAACCGCUUUCGCCUGUGACGAAGCGUGAGUGACGGUAAUGGGGAAAGAAGCACCGGCUAACUACGU
rnacentral:rRNA from 1 species